UUAACAAAAACAUGUCUUUUUGAAUAUUUAAUAUUAAGUCUGCCCUGCUCAGUGAUUAAUAUUAAACAGCUGCAGUAUCUUGACUGUACUAAGGUAGCAUAAUCAUUUGUUCUUUAAUUAAGGACUGGAAUGAAUGGGUUGAUAAGGGAUUAUCUUUCUUUAUUAUAAAAUUAUAAUUUAAUUUGUAGGUAAAAAAGCUUACAUAUAUUUAAUAGACGAGAAGACCCUUUAGAACUUUAUUAUUAUGUUUGUAUUAUAUAGUAAAGUUAAUUAUAUUAUAAUAUUAAUAUAAUGAUUUUGUUGGGGAGAUAGUUUAAUUAGCUUAACUUAAACUGAAGUAAAUUCAUUAAUUUAUGAUUAAAAUAGAUCCUAUCAUAUAGAUUAUAAGACUAAGUUACCUAAGGGAUAACAGCGUAAUUUUACUGUGGAGUUCAUAUUAAUAGUAAAGAUUGCGACCUCGAUGUUGGAUUAAAAUUAGUGUUUGGUGCAGUAGCUAAAUAACUAAGUCUGUUCGACUUUUAAAAUUUUACAUGAUUGGUUUUCA
rnacentral:rRNA from 1 species